AUGAAUUUGUGUAGCUAUUUGCAUCCAUAAAAAGGGAGCAGUAGUAGCUCCAAUUCUCCAAACUUGUUCUGCAAAACGGACCUCAAGCAGUACUCAUGACUAUGGUAGUUUAGCUGUCCAACAAAGAUUGAGGAUCCUCAAGGUAGUCCAGAAGAAAACCAAAUUUAAUCUAAGAUGGUGGAACCGGCAAGCUGUUGCACUCUUAUCCUGAUCCUCAAGUAGUCUGGAACUUCUUCAUUCUAGUAACCAAAUUUUAAGAGUGGUGGAAACGACAAGUAGUCGCAUUUUUAUCUUGUAUGUGAAUUCAAUGCUACCUCUUUUUGCCUUAAUUUUGUUCCAUUUGAAAUACUUAUACUUCCUUUUUUCUUAACAAAC